UUUUGAUUACACUCGGCUCCCACCUCCUCCAACUCCAGACAUCUUUCAGAACAGGGAAAUGAGCCGGGAGUCCAGUGAUACUGCUGAUAUGAUUCAGGCCUCCUUGGGAGGAAAGCAACCGGAAGCAGAGGGCUGGCUGCUGUGCAAUGAGGUCAUCCCUUUGGCAUGCUGUCCUGGUCCUGGAGAAAGACAACAAGAGACAGAAGCUAUUUGGCUUCUUGGCUGACUCUCAAGUCUUAACUGAGGUCCAGGAAAGGUUGAGGUGUCGGUAUGGAUCCACUGUUGCCAAGGACGCAAGAACAAAACCCUUCAUUUUAAAUGCCAGUGGAAAAAUGUUCAGGAUAAAUACCAAGACACAUAAUGUGCUUUUAUUAAGGCAGCUUUUAAAAUGAGUUUUGGAAAACAGCCUUCAAGUGACUAUAAAGGUCCUCCUUGAGUGGAGGUCACUUGAGAAUUUGGCUUUGUGGACACAAACACUCCUGAACUGUUUUGGUUUUGCUGCCCUCAGGUAGGAGCCCCUGCACCUGGGCUGGACUCAAGCUCUGGGAUUACAGAUCCCUGUUGAAGACUGGCAAGUGCAAGGGAUGGAACUCUUGGUCAGGCAUGUCUCAAGGCAACUGAAGAGGAACUGAAAAUGAAGAGCUAUUCCUGCCUGGACCAUUUGUCAUCCUCAGUUAAGUGGAAUCUGCUGAACUCCCAGGGAAGCUCACUCUCUGGAUCAGAUACCACAGAACAAGUGGUUCCAUGAGAGAAGGGAAAGCUGGUAUUUACUGUGUGUGACUUAUGGGACAAAUGCAGCAUCUGAAGUGGCCAUGAGGGGCAAGACUAUUGUCUAGCCGUUUACCAUCCCUACUUCAAAGAACUACAAGGUUAAAGGUCUUCCCCAGUAUGUUCUUAUCGAUGUUGGUUUAGACCCCGCUGCAUCUGGAUUUAUCCAGCGGCAGCUAAGAGCUACUGAGAACAAUGUGAAAGACCUCCCUCCUGGCACCCAUUUCUUCAUUGAGACCCUCAGUUUCUCCUCCUAACCAGGAAUUAAAGAGUGGACAGAUGAAUUAAGGAGCAGGCUGGAGAAGAGGAGGCAGCCUUCCCAAGAGAUAGUAGGUCAGUAAAGACCCAUGACUGGCUAAGAGUUGGCAGAGGCCAUGGCCAGGAACAUAAACUUCAGCUCUAGCACUCAAGUGUAAGACCCACAGACUUGUUUAAACCCCAGAUCCUGCCCUCAAAAAUUGUCUUUACUGCUUAGACAGAUCUCUUUCCUCUGGAUAUAACCUGACCCAUCAACUUAGACUGUGUGGACCGCUCCUCCUCCUUUUCCUUUUCUUCCUCCUCUUCCUCUAUCAACAACCUUUACCAUGGAGACAAGUAUCCUGCUGAGCAAUAUUCCCUAGAUAUUUUAAAUUUGUACCAUCUUCACUAGUACCUUGAAAGUUUUAAAAGGUAUAUAUUGUCUAAAUACUUAAAUAAGUUCACAUGUAAUCUGAAAAUCUGAGUACUCUAAACAACACACAUACACACACACACACACACACACACACACACACACACACACACACACACCCCUACUCUGUAAUCUGCAUACAACUCAAAAUAAACAUCAUUUCACAAUAUCGUGCAAGAAAUAGAGUUAGAGUAAUUUUUUUUUCUUUUCUUUUUUUGGUUUUUCGAGACAGGGUUUCUCUGUCGCUUUAGAGGCUGUCCUGGAACUAGCUCUUGUUCUCGAACUCACAGAGAUCCACCUGCCUCUGCCUCCCGAGUGCUGGGAUUAAAGGUGUACGCCACCAACAACCGAGUUGGAGUAAUUUUAAAGCUCUUUUUAGUAACAUCAAAGGAUGAGCCCUCUGAGGUCAGGAUUUUCCUCAGUCAGGAUUUUCCUCAAACUCCUUGACACACUAGUUGAUUCACCAAGCCGGUAUUUAUUGAGCACCUUUGUGCACUGCUCUGAGUUGAAGACCAUGUGGUAAAAGGGCAGAGGCAGACUCAACUUCAUGGACUGCAUUUCAAUAAUUAGACCUCAUGGACUUUUUAUUCCUUCCUUUCUUUUUCUCUUUUCUUUCCUUCCCUCCUCCCUUCCUUCUUUCCUUCUUUCUUUUUAAAUCUUCUUCCAGAAAAAUGUUGUUUACUGACAAUAUUAAUCAUUGAAUAGCUGAUCAAUAGUCACAAUUUAAAAUACAUGUGUCUCAUUUCCUGUCACAUGUAGCUCUCAUCCAUCCCUCAAAGCAAAACUACCUUACAGUUAGUUGAACAGCAACUAUUAUCAUGUAAAUGAAUCCAGUGUAUAACUUAAGGCAAUGCCAGAAAGAAACUAAAUGGGAGAUCAGUUAUGGAUUGAAUCACACACACACACACACACACACACACACACACACACACACACACACACACACACUCCAGAUAGCAUUAUGGAAUAUUUGCUAAAAACAUCUUUAUGAGAUAUUUGCUUUACCACAGGGUUUCUCAGCCUUAGUACUACUGGCAUGUUAGGCCAGUGGCCCCAUAGGUUCAUAGAUUUAAAUGCUUGAUUCCUAGUUGGUAGACUGUUUAGGAAUAAUUAGGAGGUGUGACACUGGGAGUGGGCUUUGAGGUUCAAAAGCCAAUACCAGGCCCAAUCUCUCUCUAACUCCCUUGUUCUUUCUUUCUUUCCCUAUCUCCCUCCCCAUCCUCUUCACCCUCUCUCUCUCUCUCUCU
rnacentral:lncRNA from 1 species